GAAAAAGGCUGGAACUAACAGCUGAAACACGUUUUUUGUUAUAUUGAAGCUACUGGGAUAUACACCAGAUCCUUUUUCACAUGCUGCUUCUACUUUGGAUGAAUUUACAUGGCCGUGCACAGUGAUGAUGGUGAUGCUGAUCCAUUAGUCACUGAACAUUGAGCUACAAUCCCCAUUCAAAGAGCUGAGGAGCUGAGGUGAUGAAAAAGACAAUUUAUUUUUUAAAAUAAAUAGGAGACUGUGAGAUGUUUGGAGGAGUCACAGAGCUGCCGCUUGGCACUAUCAGAAAGCAGAUUAUUUUCCAGGCUACAAAAUAUUAGGACAGUGGCUGCAGCCCAAGAAUAGAGAGCCAGGAACAAGAUGAGGAGGGUGGCAGGAAAAAUCAGGGCUCUCGUAACGAGACAAACUGAAAGGCACUGAAGGGAGGAGAGGUGGCAUCAGGACAAGUUUGGGAAGGAACAUGCUGGUUUGCGGAACAGAUCAAAGGCAAAAGAGAGAAGGGGAAGGAGUGGCAGGGUGAGGACUGAUCACCAGUCUUGUGACACCCUCUCUCAGUGGAUUGCAGGAUCCUCUGGAUUGAAGACAGAAUACAAUUUACUGAACGAAAACACAGAUUUCUGGUUCCUAGAAAAAUAUAUAGUAUGUGCUAACUGGUAGCAACUGUCACCUACCACAUUUUCUUUCUUGCUGCAAAUAAAAUUAACCCUUUUUGCUCAUAGGCUA